rnacentral:rRNA from 1 species
GGAAUAUUGGACAAUGGGCGAAAGCCUGAUCCAGCAAUGCCGCGUGAGUGAUGAAGGCCUUAGGGUUGUAAAGCUCUUUUACCCGGGAUGAUAAUGACAGUACCGGGAGAAUAAGCCCCGGCUAACUCCGUGCCAGCAGCCGCGGUAAUACGGAGGGGGCUAGCGUUGUUCGGAAUUACUGGGCGUAAAGCGCGCGUAGGCGGCUUUGUAAGUUAGAGGUGAAAGCCCGGAGCUCAACUCCGGAAUUGCCUUUAAGACUGCAUCGCUAGAAUCGUGGAGAGGUGAGUGGAAUUCCGAGUGUAGAGGUGAAAUUCGUAGAUAUUCGGAAGAACACCAGUGGCGAAGGCGACUCACUGGACACGUAUUGACGCUGAUGCGCGAAAGCCAGGGGAGCAAAC